rnacentral:rRNA from 1 species
UACGAAGGGGGCUAGCGUUGCUCGGAAUCACUGGGCGUAAAGCGCACGUAGGCGGGUUCUUAAGUCAGGGGUGAAAUCCUGGAGCUCAACUCCAGAACUGCCUUUGAUACUGGGAAUCUCGAGUCCGGGAGAGGUGAGUGGAACUGCGAGUGUAGAGGUGAAAUUCGUAGAUAUUCGCAAGAACACCAGUGGCGAAGGCGGCUCACUGGCCCGGUACUGACGCUGAGGUGCGAAAGCGUGGGGAGCAAACAGG